UAGGGAAUCUUCCGCACUGGGCGAAAGCCUGACGGAGCAACGCCGCGUGAGUGAUGAAGGUCUUCGGCUCGUAAAACUCUGUUAUUAGGGAAGAACAAAUGUGUACGUACCUAUGCACGUCUUGACGGUACCUACUCAGAAAGCCACGGCUAACUACGUGCCAGCAGCCGCGGUAAUACGUAGGUGGCAAGCGUUAUCCGGAAUUAUUGGGCGUAAAGCGCGCGUAGGCGGUUUUUUAAGUCUGAUGUGAAAGCCCACGGCUCAACCGUGGAGGGUCAUUGGAAACUGGAAAACUUGAGUGCAGAAGAGGAAAGUGGAAUUCCAUGUGUAGCGGUGAAAUGCGCAGAGAUAUGGAGGAAAACCAGUGGGGAAGGCGACUUUCUGAUCUGUAACUGACGCUGAUGUGCGAAAGCGGGGGGAACAAACAGG
rnacentral:rRNA from 1 species